rnacentral:rRNA from 1 species
GCUAGCGACAGGCUUAACACAUGCAAGUCGAGGGGCAGCGGUGGUGAAGGCUUGCCUUUACCAGCCGGCGACCGGCGCACGGGUGAGUAACACGUAUGCAACCUGCCUGCCACAGCCGGAUAAUCGGGAGAAAUUCCGUCUAAUACGGCAUAAUGCACCUAUGGGACAUCCUGUUGGUGCCAAAGGUUGAUUCCGGUGGCGGAUGGGCAUGCGUCGCAUUAGUUAGUUGGCGGUGUAACGGACCACCAAGACGACGAUGCGUAGGGGUUCUGAGAGGAAGGUCCCCCACACUGGUACUGAGACACGGACCAGACUCCUACGGGAGGCAGCAGUGAGGAAUAUUGGUCAAUGGGCGGGAGCCUGAACCAGCCAAGUCGCGUGAGGGAUGACGGCCCUAUGGGUUGUAAACCUCUUUUGCCGGGGAGCAAAGUGCCGCACGUGUGCGGUUUGGAGAGUACCCGGAGAAAAAGCAUCGGCUAACUCCGUGCCAGCAGCCGCGGUAAUACGGAGGAUGCGAGCGUUAUCCGGAUUUAUUGGGUUUAAAGGGUGCGUAGGCGGACGCUUAAGUCAGCGGUAAAAUUGCGGGGCUCAACCUCGUCGAGCCGUUGAAACUGGGUGCCUUGAGUGGGCGAGAAGUACGCGGAAUGCGUGGUGUAGCGGUGAAAUGCAUAGAUAUCACGCAGAACUCCGAUUGCGAGGGCAGCGUACCGGCGCCCAACUGACGCUGAAGCACGAAGGCGUGGGUAUCGAACAGGAUUAGAUACCCUGGUAGUCCACGCAGUAAACGAUGAAUGCUAGUUGUCCGGGGCGAUUGAGUUCUGGGUGACACAGCGAAAGCGUUAAGCAUUCCACCUGGGGAGUACGCCGGCAACGGUGAAACUCAAAGGAAUUGACGGGGGCCCGCACAAGCGGAGGAACAUGUGGUUUAAUUCGAUGAUACGCGAGGAACCUUACCCGGGCUCAAACGCAGGAGGGAUGUUUUUGAAAGGAGGCAGCCAGCAAUGGUCUCCUGCGAGGUGCUGCAUGGUUGUCGUCAGCUCGUGCCGUGAGGUGUCGGCUUAAGUGCCAUAACGAGCGCAACCCCUACCUACAGUUGCCAUCGCGUGAUGGCGGGCACUCUGUGGGGACUGCCUGCGCAAGCAGUGAGGAAGGCGGGGAUGACGUCAAAUCAGCACGGCCCUUACGUCCGGGGCGACACACGUGUUACAAUGGCAGGUACAGCGGGAAGCCACCCGGCGACGGGGCGCGGAACCCGAAAACCUGUCUCAGUUCGGAUUGGAGUCUGCAACCCGACUCCAUGAAGCUGGAUUCGCUAGUAAUCGCGCAUCAGCCACGGCGCGGUGAAUACGUUCCCGGGCCUUGU